rnacentral:rRNA from 1 species
GACGAACGCUGGCGGCGUGCCUAAUACAUGCAAGUCGAACGCAGUGGGGACGGGUGCGUAACAAGUGGGUAACCUCCCAUCAGAGGGGAUAACACUUGGAAACAGGUGCUAAACCGAUACUGAUGGAUGGACCCGCGGUGCAUUCGCUAGUUGGUGAGGUAACGGCUCACCAAGGCCACGAUGCAUAGCCGACCUGAGAGGAUGAUCGGCCACACGGGUACUGAGACACGGCCCAGACUCCUACGGGAGGCAGCAGUAGGGAAUAUUCGGCAAUGGACGAAAGUCUGACCGAGCAACGCCGCGUGAGUGAAGAAGGUUUUCGGAUCGUAAAACACUGUGGUUAGAGAAGCGGUAUCUAACCAGAAAGCCACGGCUAACUACGUGCCAGCAGCCGCGGUAAUUC